GGCUCGGUGGCAUUGUGGUAACACGUUCCAUUUGUGUAAACUGGUGGGAAACUGAUAAAUGGAAAGACUGGAGUUUGAUUCUCCGCCAAGCCA